rnacentral:rRNA from 1 species
UGGUGUUGAUUGCGGUGAGGGUCCACCCGUUCCCAUCCCGAACACGGAAGUUAAGCUCACCUGCGCCGAAAAUACUUGUCUGGAGACGGACUGGGAAGAUAGGUAACGC